rnacentral:lncRNA from 1 species
UUUGGUGUAUUUUUAAUGAUAUAUAUGAGUAGUCCAAAUAAUUAUUACGUCUGGCAAGGCUUUUUAAAUUUUAUUCUGGGACACCUUCCUAUGACCACAAGGCUUAUGUUAAUUUUUUUCUGGGACGCCUUCUUAGGAAGCCUUCCUACGAACGUCUUAGGAAGGCGUCCCAGAAAAAAAUAAAAUAGCCUUAUUGGAUAUUUUUAUGCAUUAUUUAACCAGUUAAGUCUCUUACAGGAUUGUUUGUUUAAUGCUGUUUAAACAUUACUGAAAAAAAAACACCUUAAAUUUGCUAAUUAUUUGGCAUGAAAGUUUGAUUUAUUGAAAGGGACUCAUAGUUUUUCAUUUAAUUUUAAUAAUUGUCUAAUGGUUAAAACAAUAGCUUCGUUGUUUACUUUUAUACACAACAACAUAUUCACUUUGGUCUCGUUGUUUACCUAAUAUUCACUAUGUACUUGGUAACAGUUAUUAAUUAAUUGAAUAGAAAAUAUUAUAAUAAAUAUUAUUGGAAGCCGAAUUGACGUCAAAUAGGUGCCGAUUUGACUAGAUGCCAAUUUAACCAGGUUCCGACUUGACUUGUACGUUUCAAUUCCUCUGCGAUCGUUUGCGGUAUUUUCUUGAGAAAGCCUAUUUUCCAUCAUCAAAGAGAAGAAGAAACUGCUUGAAAUGAUUCCCGAACGCUUCGUGAUUGUUAAAAUAAGUUUAAUUCACUCAAAAAACAAUUUUAAAACUUGCGAUGGCCACAGACCACAAUUAAUUCCUCUAUCAGUUCUUUAUAACGUUUUGUAUCAUUAAAAAAAUUACACCAUGCACUUUUGUCAAAUUUUUUGUGUGUGUAAUGUAUAGCCCUAGUCCAAAUAUAUAUCCAAAAUUCAGAAAGAUUGUAGCAAUCACUUUUACAAAUUUAGCCAAUACACAUCCAUACCUCUAUUGACAAGUCAAGAGAUGUUCCGAAAACUGUAAAUAUGACCUUUUUGCACUUGGCCUAAUCACUCAUUCCAUAUCAAAAUCAGUUUAAAUACAACAUCCAAAAAUUUAUUUCACCUCUCUUCUUUCAUUUCCACCCAAAAAAAUCUAAGAAAUGAGUGAGGAAGGGAAAGAAAAAAAAUUAAGGAAAAAUACACUCUAAUUAAAAGGAACUAUAUUCGUGGACAACGAAAAGCGGG